UACAAGAAUUAGCCAGGUGUGAUGGUGUGUGCCUGUAAUCCCAGCUACUCUGGAGGCUGAGGCAGGAGAAUCGCUUGAACCCAAGAGACGGAGGUUGCGGUGAGCCAAGAUUGGGCCACUGCACUCCUUAUUUCCCCUUCUUUCUCACACAAAAGGCAGCAUACUAUACAUGCUCUUUUGCACGUGGCUUUUUGCAUUACUAAUGUCUCUUGGAAACCACUCCAUGUCCAUUCCCAACUAUUACACGUACUCUUUUUCACAGCUGCAUUGGGUUAACUUCAAAAGUGCCAUACACAUAUACAAAUACACAUGCACACAACGCUGACAAAAUGCAAUGAAAAAGGUAGACCACAGGGAGAGAAUGUUACUAAUGCUGAGAGGAAACUUAAGAAGCCAUAGAAACUGAAAGAACAUUGUUCAUGUUUUAACAAAACUGAAACACUGCAAAAUUAGGGGUGGGGAGGAAACAGUGUUAUGUUGAGCAAACUAUACUGUCUUAUCACACGUGAUUGAUAAAUUUGAGACAUUGACAAUACUUCCCAGCCAGAAGUUAAGAUGAUCAAUGUUACUCUUGUCAGCCUUUCAAAUUGGUUUCCCAAUGGAACAUUUGGGAGCUUUCCAUAAUGUUGCAAGUAACAUUACAUAGCUAAAACAGACUCAGCAUUUCUUGGAGGGUUUCAAAAUAAAAAAUAAAACGUUCAUUUUAACAAUCUGAAAGGCAACAUUUAGUGAGAAAUAUCACUGCCUUUCAUCAGUCUCUCUUCUCUGUUAAAUGGUUUAUUCAUGAACUGACAGGUUUUAAAAAUUUUUUCCUUUUUAAAAAUCUUAUGUUUCAUUAAUAUAAUUGAUACUGUGCUUAUAAGAUUAUAUUUUAUGGUAAGAAAAGAUAACUAGAGUUACAUACUUAAAGCAAACAAUAGGCCCAUUAAAUUCAGUCAUAAAAAAUUAUAAGGUUCAGAGACCUGGAAAAAAUUACAGAUCGACUCGAGCCCAGAAGGGUGAAUAAACUUUCUCUAGGUCACACAGCUAGUUUAGUAGCCUAGUACAACUAAGGGCCUGUGUCUUGUGAAAACCUGCCAGCUGUGUGUUCCACAUAAAGGGACAGAAGUGGCAACUAAACAGGCAAAACGAAACCUGGCUAGAGGCCAUGGAAGGCCCCAAGGACAUUUCCAAAGAAGCGCCAGUGCUCUUGAGUACAAAAGUUAAGGUGUUUUGCUUUGUCAUUUUCUUUUCCCAAAAAGCCACAAAAUAACAUUUUCUCAUAUGAAAUUGAUUUUGUCACUAAUAAAGGAAAAGAAACAUUAUUCAAAGUUCCACACCUCUUGACAAAAGCAGGUACAAAUUAUAUACUAUUAUUUAAAAUGCUUGUAAAAUGGGCCAUAACAUGAGGAAAAAACAAAACAAACACACAAACAAAACACCGUCACCAUGCCUAGAGAAACUGAAGACAAGCUACUGGUGAAAUUCCUAAAAGCAAUAAUUAUUAUAUGUGUGUGCCAUCCACUCCACAUUAUGAGAUCGAAUAGAUGAUGCUUUGUCAUGAUUAUUUUGUGAACCACAGUAGAAUGGGGAAGGUCUGUGGCCAUCAGUGCUGGCAGAGCAUCAGCUAGGGGUGUAUCACGGAAGAGCGCUCAAGUGAUAUAGCUGCAAGAUUCCAACUGAAUGCCCCUCAAUAGUCUAUGUUAUUCAAAGGCACGGGUAGGCAGUCAAAAAUAUUUUCCUCAUUUUAAUUCAGCAUUGAGAGAGGUGGGGGAAAUUGGGCCUGCAAUCAAAUCCUGGCCACCGAGGCACACAUUUUAACAUGUUAUACAAAGAACUGGGCAAGGACCUCAGGCCACUGAUUUCUAAACCUUCACACGAUAGCUCUCAAAGGGAAAGAUGUUCACAGGAGGAAUUUUAUAUGCAGAUGACAAAAACAAAAUUUCUUACUACACAAAGGCCUUUGCCAUGAAUUCAGCAGCCUGCUCAAAUGGUUUAUCUCAGCAACAUCUUCCACAUAUAAAAUUGUUCCAAUGUGUCCCUUGGGGGACAAAAUGUCACUAUU
rnacentral:lncRNA from 1 species